rnacentral:rRNA from 1 species
UACGGAGGGAGCUAGCGUUGUUCGGAAUUACUGGGCGUAAAGCGCACGUAGGCGGCUUUGUAAGUUAGGGGUGAAAGCCCGGAGCUCAACUCCGGAAUUGCCUUUAAGACUGCAUCGCUUGAAUCCGGGAGAGGUGAGUGGAAUUCCGAGUGUAGAGGUGAAAUUCGUAGAUAUUCGGAAGAACACCAGUGGCGAAGGCGGCUCACUGGACCGGUAUUGACGCUGAGGCGCGAAAGCGUGGGGAGCAAACAGG